rnacentral:rRNA from 1 species
GAUGAACGCUAGCUGCAGGCUUAACACAUGCAAGUCGAGGGACCGGCGCACGGGUGAGUAACACGUAUCCAACCUGCCCUUUACCCGGGGAUAGCCUUUCGAAAGAAAGACUAAUACCCGAUGUAAAGGAUGGGGAUGCGUUCCAUUAGCUUGUUGGUGAGGUAACGGCUCACCAAGCCUUCGAUGGAUAGGGGUUCGGAGAGGAAGGUCCACCAGAUUUGAAAUGAGACACGGUCCAAGACCGUACGGGAGGCAGCAGAGAGGAAUAUUGGUCAAUGGGCGGUGGCCUGAACCAGCCAAGUAGGGUGAAGGAUGAAGGCGUAUGAGACGUAAACUGCUUGUAUAUAAGAAUAUGUAUUAAAUGAAUAAGGAUCGGCUAACUCCGUGCCAGCAGCCGCGGUAAUAC